GAUGAACGCUGGCGGCGUGCCUAAUACAUGCAAGUCGAGCGAACGGACGAGAAGCUUGCUUCUCUGAUGUUAGCGGCGGACGGGUGAGUAACACGUGGAUAACCUACCUAUAAGACUGGGAUAACUUCGGGAAACCGUAGCUAAUACCGGAUAAUAUUUUGAACCGCAUGGUUCAAAAGUGAAAGACGGUCUUGCUGUCACUUAUAGAUGGAUCCGCGCUGCAUUAGCUAGUUGGUAAGGUAACGGCUUACCAAGGCAACGAUGCAUAGCCGACCUGAGAGGGUGAUCGGCCACACUGGAACUGAGACACGGUCCAGACUCCUAAGGGAGGCCGCAGUAGGGAAUCUUCCGCAAUGGGCGAAAGCCUGACGGAGCAACGCCGCGUGAGUGAUGAAGGUAUUCGGAUCGUAAAACUCUGUUAUUAGGGAAGAACAUAUGUGUAAGUAACUGUGCACAUCUUGACGGUACCUAAUCAGAAAGCCACGGCUAACUACGUG
rnacentral:rRNA from 1 species